AUGGAUGAUAAGGUCUAUAAACUGAAGAUAGUCCGAUCUCUUUGGUUUGGACUAUCUUCAGUUUAUUGAACUUUAAAAAACUC
rnacentral:pre_miRNA from 1 species